rnacentral:rRNA from 1 species
UACGUAGGGCGCAAGCGUUAUCCGGAAUUAUUGGGCGUAAAGAGCUCGUAGGCGGUUUGUCGCGUCUGCCGUGAAAGUCCGGGGCUCAACUCCGGAUCUGCGGUGGGUACGGGCAGACUAGAGUGAUGUAGGGGAGACUGGAAUUCCUGGUGUAGCGGUGAAAUGCGCAGAUAUUAGGAAGGAACACCGGUGGCGAAGGCGGUCUCUGGGUCCGUAGU